rfam:Candidatus Nomurabacteria bacterium RIFCSPLOWO2_12_FTLL_46_14 rifcsplowo2_12_scaffold_21413, whole genome shotgun sequence.
GCCGGAGUAGCUUAGCGGUAAAGCAAUCGCUUCGUAAGCGAUAGACCGUGAGUUCUAUUCUCACCUCCGGCU